rnacentral:rRNA from 1 species
GGAGCAGCCCGCCGGCGGCCAACCAAACUCUUGUUUCUUAGUGAAUCUCUGAGUAAAAAACAUAAAUGAAUCAAAACUUUCAACAACGGAUCUCUUGGUUCUGGCAUCGAUGAAGAACGCAGCGAAAUGCGAUAAGUAAUGUGAAUUGCAGAAUUCAGUGAAUCAUCGAAUCUUUGAACGCACAUUGCGCCCUCUGGUAUUCCGGAGGGCAUGCCUGUUCGAGCGUCAUUUCAACMCUCAAGCCUGGCUUGGUGUUGGGGCACUGCCUUGGAGACAAGGCAGGCCCUGAAAUCUAGUGGCGAGCUCGCUAGGACCCCGAGCGUAGUAGUUAUAUCUUUUUUCUUGUUAGGCCCUGGCGGUGCCCUGCCGUUAAACCMCCARCUUCUGAAAUUUUSACCUC